ACAAAAUUGAAAUAGCAGUCAGACGGAUGUUUGCUGAUAUUAGGCUGUUAAGACUGAGCCGUGAUGCAGUGGCCGGUGGGAGUGCCGGCGCCGGUCGUGGUGGACCCGACGCCCAGCGCUCCGCUUCGCGCUGCUACCACACAGGUCUCUGAAUGGAGCUGCGUUCCGGUGGGCGGCUGGCUGCGCUCUCUCGGUCUGGCCCAGUACGCCGACGCGUUCGUCGCCCGCUCUGUGGAUGGCGCCCGGCUUCUGGGGCUCACCGAACAGGCUAUGGAAGACGAGCCCGACGUCGGUCUCGACGUGGCGACCUCGGAGCCAGCGUGUUGGGUCUCGGCUUCCCGCCACUCACCGGCGGACCUUUCCGCUUCGUGGACCGCAUCGGUCCCGCACAGCUAGUCAAGGACAUGGAGCGCUUCGCCGUCGUCAAUGGCGUCGGCUUCGAGCCGUGCCUGACCGUGCACUACCAGGCCGCUAGCGGCACCAAGUUCUGUUCGGCCGGGCCUCGUGUAAUGCCCACAUGUGAUGACCGAGUGUAUACGCAUGUGAAGCCGCUCCGCGUGUGUACCAGCGCUGGGCGUGUUCAGUUUCAAAGUAAAUAUAGAACCCUGGUGAUCAA
rnacentral:misc_RNA from 1 species